rnacentral:rRNA from 1 species
GUGGGGAAUUUUGGACAAUGGGCGCAAGCCUGAUCCAGCAAUGCCGCGUGCAGGAAGAAGGCCUUCGGGUUGUAAACUGCUUUUGUACGGAACGAAACGGUUCUGGUUAAUACCCGGGGCUAAUGACGGUACCGUAAGAAUAAGCACCGGCUAACUACGUGCCAGCAGCCGCGGUAAUACGUAGGGUGCAAGCGUUAAUCGGAAUUACUGGGCGUAAAGCGUGCGCAGGCGGUUGUGUAAGACAGGCGUGAAAUCCCCGGGCUCAACCUGGGAAUUGCGCUUGUGACUGCACGGCUGGAGUGCGGCAGAGGGGGAUGGAAUUCCGCGUGUAGCAGUGAAAUGCGUAGAUAUGCGGAGGAACACCGAUGGCGAAGGCAAUCCCCUGGGCCUGCACUGACGCUCAUGCACGAAAGCGUGGGGAGCAAACAGGAUUAGAAACCCUUGUAGUCC